UACGGAGGGUGCAAGCGUUAAUCGGAAUUACCGGGCGUAAAGCGCGCGUAGGCGGCUGGAUAAGUCGAUUGUGAAAGCCCCGGGCUCAACCUGGGAAUUGCAGUCGAGACUGUUCGGCUAGAGUGUGGGAGAGGGUGGUGGAAUUCCCGGUGUAGCGGUGAAAUGCGUAGAUAUCGGGAGGAAUAUUAAAUGAGACGGCGACCACCGAGAUCUACACUGACGCUGAGGUGCGAAAGCGUGGGUAGCAAACAGG
rnacentral:rRNA from 1 species